AAGACAUAAUGACCGAUGCAGCUGUUCUUCCCUGCUGUGGAAGCAGUUAUUGUGACGAGUGUAUUAGAACGGCAUUGCUGGAGACUGAGGAUUAUACAUGCCCAGCGUGUCACCGGACAGACGUUCCUCCUGAUGCUUUAGUUGCCAACAAGAGCCUACGCCAGGCUGUGAACAACUUCAAAAAUGGUGUUGGCUACAC